rnacentral:lncRNA from 10 species
CUGGCACCUGCCCCCCAACUGGAGUUCAUCAGUGUUGAAAUCUGAUAGAAGCCCAUCCAUUUUUUUGCUUUUCUCAACCCCCAGGCCCCUCUCUGGUGAGCAGCCACUGACUUCUGCUCUGUAAGAGCACGCUUUAAUGCAUUCUGAGUAUCACACAUUCUCCUUUUUGCCUCUUGCCACAGACCCCAAGGCAUCUCCCCAAGAUGACCACAGUUGUCCCUGAAGAAGCAGUCACAGCAAGCUCACUUCACAGGAACCAAGCUGUGGGCUGAUCCUACAGACUUGAAAAGACAACUCAAAAAGGUAUAAAGUUGCCAGAUCCUCACCCCCAAAGUGUGGCACAAUAUUAACGCCUCUAGGCAGGCACGACUGCGUGCCUUCCAUUUGGGGCGUGAGUCCUGCCUCCCUGGGCUGAGUGGCCUCCAUGCCAACAUGCUCUGACUAACGUGAUGCCCCUGCAAUGCCUGCGACCCUGCUGAGGCACAGCCCACCUCCUCUCCCUCUGGGACCAAGGGGUCGGCGAACUGAGAAGUUUUGGGGGUCUCCCUCCAGGUUUCUCAGCCUCCAGGAAAGCAUCUCCCGGCCCCGCAUCAUCCCGCGUCCCCGGCCGAGGGCCCUUCUGGCAAUCAAGGCCCGUAUUCACCCUCAGAGAGGGAGUUACGGUUCUGCCAGCUCCAACCCUCUAAAGGCCGCGCGGCAGGACGGAGGCAGCCUUUAAGAACAGCAGUUACUCCAAGGCCGCAGCGCGUGGACAGCGGGCGUGUGGGGAGGGACCUGGUGGCCCUCUACGCCCCGGCCCCGCCCCCUCGCCCCGGCCCCGCCCCGGCCCCUCUCCCCACCCCGCGCCAGGCUGCCCCUGCCAACCCCGAGGGGGGAAGACUGUGCUCUGAGGUCCUCGGGGAUGGUUGUUGCGGGCCUCGGCCUCCCUAGAUUCCUUCCCAUCUCCCCAACAGCAAUCCUCCCAGGGCCAUGGGCCAGGAACCCCUGGUGGUUCUGUAUUCUGAGGUUCUGCAGACGCAGGGUGUAGUCUCCUGCGAGUCCAUCUUGAUUUGGAAGGCUGCGGGAGGAGGUGGCCGAGACCCCUUCCCUAGACCGCGAGGCAGGACGGAGGCAGCCGUUAGGAACGGCCCCACUCCACCAGCCGGCCCCGCGGGACGGUUACUCUGUUCCUGAGGUACCCCCCGAGAUUGUCUGUGGGGUCAGAAACAGCUCUGGAGGGGUCUGCAGAAAUUACUUUCCCAAGUCUUUGGGCUGGAAGGAACGAACAGUGCCUGACCAAGGACUUUGAGCAGGAGAGAGAUGGGAGCAGAGAGGAGCCAAGGUCUACUAUUUUCACUUCUGUCAAUUAGAUCAAAGCCCUGCCCAGAAGCUUUGAGCGCCGCUGUCAAGUCCCAUUCCUCCCCUAAACCAUCCAGGUUCCAUCUGCCUUGAAGCCAAAGGAUCUUCUUAGAUUCCUCAAGAAAAAUUCAGGCCCCGAGUUUCUCCACCAGCACUCUCCUCUCCCCGAAGGAGUGGGUGGGCUGCAUUUCUCUUCAUAUUCUAUUCCAUUCCAGACCGUCUUGGACUACCAGCCUGUCCGCCACCCCUCGGGGCCCUCCCUCCUACUCUGCCCUUGCCCGCUGAGGUCCCAAGCUGAGGAGAUGAGCCGAGCAGUAAAAAGAGAGGAGGUUUGGAAAAGCAAUGUCCUCUCAGUCUUUAAUAGGUGGCCCCCCUGGGAACCUGCUGGAAGUGGAAGUUAAUAAGCUGAAGGUGGUCACAACCAAUCUCUGCCACACUCGCACCCUACCCCACCCCAAAUCAUUCCUUUUAAUUAAUAGUGGAAGACCUUUUUAAAAAUGUAACAUGAAUUGGCUAUUUCUUGAGGCAAACAAAAGGUGGCUCUGAAGCGAUAUAUUUGUACUCGUAUAAAUUCAUUAAAAUAGAAAGCUUAUAACCAUCCAGGUUUCACUGACAGCCCCAGUCCAUCUACAUGCAGAAAUGGUCCCUCCAAAGCCCUCUACGACAAUUAUUCUCACAGAUCGUCAUGAUAAACUGUAAGGGAAUAUACUAAGAAAGAGGGAAGAAGAGAGGAGGAGUCCAUUUUUAAUUAGUGGUUGGAAAUAGAGUAAAAAUUAGAGGGCCUUAGGUUUAAAACACAGAUGUGCAUUGUGAUCGUCUGAAGGAAGAGCUGUUGACAGAGAAAACAAGGUGGUGAACUAUGCCCUUGGCCUGUGACAGUUAGGUGAGGGUUGCUCACCGCAGAAGACAGACCGGUAGAGCCCAGCAGGAAAGAGGGUAUCAGGCUGGAAGAAGUGCAGUUUGGCCCUGGCGGAGUGGUGGAGUGGCUGGAGCGACUGCAGGAGGAGGAUAGAUCUGGAAGCAGGUCUGGGCUAUACUUUGGCCUCAGCCAGGGAGCCAGAGAAGGAAGGCUUGGGUUCGAGGGGGGAAAUCAUUCUCCCAAAUUGCUUUCUCAGAAGCGCCAAUUCAGAUCACCUGAAGACAGGGUCUGGGCCCCAUUACAGCAUGGUUCCCAAAUGGGAGUGUGCUUGGAAGCCUUGGUGAUUAAAGGGUGCUGACUAAAAGAGUCAAACUCUGUAAAAUAUUUGAAGAGAUUUAUUCUGAGCCAAAUAUGAGUGACCAUGGCCCAUGACACAGCCCUCAGGAGACCCUGAGAACAUGUGUUCAAGGUGGUCGGGGUACAGCUUGGUUUUAUAUGUUUUAGGAAGGCAUGAGACUCAAUCAAAGACAUUUUAAAAAUACAUUGGUUUGGUUCAGAAAGGUGAGACAACUCAAAGUGGGGGCUUCCAGGCUAUAGGUAAAUUUAAACAUUUUCUGACUGACAAUUGGUUGGGUUUAUCUGGAGACCUGGGAUUAAUGGAAAGGAAGGUUCAUGUUAAGAUACAGAACUGUGGGGACCAAGUUUUAUUGUGCAGAGGAAUCUCUCAGAUAGCAGACUUCAGAGAGAGAGAGAGCAGGUUGUAAAAUGUUUCUUAUCGGACCUAAAAGGGUACCUGGCUCUUAGUUGAUUAUCUCCUGGAUCUGGGAAGGAAGGAAGGAAAACAAAGGGGAAAGGAAAUAUUUCCUAUAGAAUAUGGAUUUUUCCCACAAGAGACUUUGCAGGACAAUUUCGAGAUAUGGCAAGGAGAUUUAUUUUGGGGUAAAACAUUUUGAUUUUCUUCCUUGUUAUGCCACAGUCAGAUUGGAAAGUCAGUCAUGAUAUACAGGGUCAGAUAAAAUCCGUCUGAUGAGAAUGUAUGGUUGGUAGGGCAUGACUCCCCAGACCCCUUAGAUAGGAAUCUGGGCAAGAUAAAAAAUCGGAGCUUAGUCCUCAAGGGAAGGGGCAGCAGCGCUGUUGGCGGGCUCACCAAGCAUCAGUACUGGAUCACCAGGCUUGGGAGAGUAGGGGUGUCAAGGCCCCAAGAGCAGGGAGGGCCUUGGCCCCACUAGGGGGGCAUCAGAAAGCAGGGAGCACUUGUAGUUCACCAUGAUUCCCCUCAAAGCCCUGGGCCAGCCUCCUGCAGGGAAGGCGGGCAGGAAGUCUUCCCCAUAGGGGCAGGCUUGCUUUUUUG